CACUACGAACGUGCUCAUCAUGACGAACGCAUCAUUACAUUCCUCUUUUUCGAGAGUCCCCCACAUAAUUCCAAAAUAAUUCUUAAUGUGGAUUGUGGUGUAAUGACGUCAGUGGUAUCAAAUACAUUCACAAAUUUCUUGUUUUUAUUUGAAUUUCAUUGUAAGCAAGUCAUACGCCGUUUGUGCAUGAAAUGAGAUUUCAAGGGGCAUUUUUUGGUGUUAGAGCAUACUUACCGCAUUCAAAAAUCAAAUGUAACUUUUUCAUUUAUUUUCAAUGACGUCAUUUUAUAUCAUCAUCAGAAGUAUCAGAAGUCUCCAAAACCGACAAUUCCUUGACGAGAGACGACGAGAAGUGAAGAACGCGAAGAAUAACAACACAAAAAAAAAACUUUCAACUUUUUGGAUUUCUGUAGAGUGCAGUAGCAGUUCGGUGGUGAAUAAUUUGAGUGGUUUGUAGGUUUUGUGAAAAUGCUGAGGAAUUUCGGAAGGCUUUCACAGGCUGCUGCAAGAUUAAGUGGCUCUACUGCAGCCUCUGUCAUCAGGACACAGGGCCGGAGAUGCAUAUCGUCGUCCACUCCACUUCAAGGCACUAAGUACUACUACCGUGCAAUUGCCACAGAGCAUCCCAAGGGCCGUGUGAUUGCCGGUGACCUGAUAGUGGCUUUCAUGUGGUACUGGAUCCUAUACCACAUGUGGUACGAGCCAGAACAUCUUUUUGGAGAGUUUGAAUACCCAGACGCCGCCAAAUGGACCGACCAGGAGCUGGGCAUCCCUGCCGACGACGAGUGAAGCGAAAAGUUGUGCUGAACAUGCGGGUUGGAACGAUUGUGUAACGUGAUAAUAUAGGUACGGUACGAAG